rnacentral:rRNA from 1 species
GACGGAGGGUGCUAGCGUUGUUCGGAAUCACUGGGCGUAAAGGGCGCGUAGGCGGCCUUGCAAGUCGGUUGGUGAAAGCCCGGGGCUCAACCCCGGAGGUGCGGCCGAGACUGCAGGGCUGGAGGCCGGAAGAGGAGGGUGGAAUACCCAGUGUAGAGGUGAAAUUCGUAGAUAUUGGGUGGAACACCGGUGGCGAAAGCGGCUCUCUGGUCCGGACCUGACGCUGAGGCGCGAAAGCGUGGGGAGCGAACAGG